rnacentral:rRNA from 1 species
UACAGAGGGUGCAAGCGUUAAUCGGAAUUACUGGGCGUAAAGCGUGCGUAGACGGUAGCGUAAGUCGGGUGUGAAAGCCCCGGGCUCAACCUGGGAAUUGCAUUCGAGACUGCUCUGCUAGGGUGCGGAAGAGGGAAGCGGAAUUUCCGGUGUAGCGGUGAAAUGCGUAGAUAUCGGAAGGAACGCCGGUGGCGAAAGCGGCGUGCUGGACCUCUUCUGACGCUGAGGCGCGAAAGCCAGGGGAGCGAACGGG